AAGGUUAGCAGUGUGGUUAACAUUAGGGAUAAGGUUAGCAGUGUGGUUAAAGUUAGGGAUAAGGUUAGCAGUGUGGUUAACAUUAGGGAUAAGGUUAGCAGUGUGGUUAACAUUAGGGAUAAGGUUAGCAGUGUGGUUAACAUUAGGGAUAAGGUUAGCAGUGUGGUUAAAGUUAGGGAUAAGGUUAGCAGUGUGGUUAAAGUUAGGGAUAAGGUUAGCAGUGUGGUUAUAGUUAGGGAUAAGGUUAGCAGUGUGGUUAAAGUUAGGGAUAAGGUUAGCAGUGUGGUUAAAGUUAGGGAUAAGGUUAGCAGUGUGGUUAUAGUUAGGGAUAAGGUUAGCAGUGUGGUUAAAGUUAGGGAUAAGGUUAGCAGUGUGGUUAAAGUUAGGGAUAAGGUUAGCAGUGUGGUUAUAGUUAGGGGUAAGGUUAGCAGUGUGGUUAUAGUUAGGGGUAAGGUUAGCAGUGUGGUUAUAGUUAGGGGUAAGGUUAGCAGUGUGGUUAUAGUUAGGGAUAAGGUUAGCAGUGUGGUUAUAGUUAGGGGUAAGGUUAGCAGUGUGGUUAUAGUUAGGGGUAAGGUUAGCAGUGUGGUUAUAGUUAGGGGUAAGGUUAGCAGUGUGGUUAUAGUUAGGGAGUAAGGUUAGCAGUGUGGUUAUAGUUAGGGAUAAGGUUAGCAGUGUGGUUAUAGUUAGGGAUAAGGUUAGCAGUGUGGUUAUAGUUAGGGAUAAGGUUAGCAGUGUGGUUAUAGUUAGGGAUAAGGUUAGCAGUGUGGUUAUAGUUAGGGAUAAGGUUAGCAGUGUGGUUAUAGUUAGGGGUAAGGUUAGCAGUGUGGUUAUAGUUAGGGAUAAGGUUAGCAGUGUGGUUAUAGUUAGGGAUAAGGUUAGCAGUGUGGUUAUAGUUAGGGAUAAGGUUAGCAGUGUGGUUAUAGUUAGGGAUAAGGUUAGCAGUGUGGUUAUAGUUAGGGGUAAGGUUAGCAGUGUGGUUAUAGUUAGGGGUAAGGUUAGCAGUGUGGUUAUAGUUAGGGAUAAGGUUAGCAGUGUGGUUAUAGUUAGGGAUAAGGUUGGGGUUAGGUUUAAAAUAGAAUUUGAAGAAGAAAUAGGCAGUGUUUACGACUUUGUGGCUGUGAUAACUAGUGGCGACAGUAUGUUAAGACAAGGUGGUUUUACUGACCUUGUGACUUAACCAGGAAAUAAACUUUGAGCCCCCAGUGUUUCGUCCGGCGCUAAGAGCGCUCGUCAAAACGUAUGAUUAAGCCCCGACCUUUUACCUACUCAGGAAAACUCCUGGGCCUAUAUAGAUUACGUUUGGUGAGGGAAGGAUAU